CCUACGGGAGGCAGCAGUGGGGAAUAUUGGGCAAUGGGCGCAAGCCUGACCCAGCAACGCCGCGUGAAGGAAGAAGGCUUUCGGGUUGUAAACUUCUUUUCUGAGGGACGAAGAAAGUGACGGUACCCCAGGAAUAAGCCACGGCUACCUACGGGCCAGCAGCCGCGGCAAUACGUAGGCGGCAAUCGUUAUCCGGAUUUAUUGGGUGUAAAGGGCGUGUAGGCGGGAAAGCAAGUCAGAUGUGAAAACUCGGGGCUCAACCCUGGGCCUGCAUUUGAAACUGUUUUGCUUGAGUGCGGGAGAGGCAAUCGGAAUUCCGUGUGUAGCGGUGAAAUGCGUAGAUAUACGGAGGAACACCAGUGGCGAAGGCGGCUUGCUGGACAGUAACUGACGCUGAGGCGCGAAAGCGUGGGGAGCAAACAGGAUUAGAUACCCUUGUAGUC
rnacentral:rRNA from 1 species